rnacentral:rRNA from 1 species
AUUGAACGCUGGCGGCAUGCUUUACACAUGCAAGUCGAACGGCAGCACAGCAGAGGUAACUCUGUGGGUGGCGAGUGGCGAACGGGUGAGUAAUACAUCAGAACGUACCCUGUUGUGGGGGAUAACUACGCGAAAGCGUAGCUAAUACCGCAUACGCCCUGAGGGGGAAAGCGGGGGACCCGUAAAUAGAGCGCACUGGGGAGUGCGUUGUAUUUAGGGCCUCGCGCAAUAGGAGCGGCCGAUGUCGGAUUAGCUAGUUGGUGAGGUAAAGGCUUACCAAGGCGACGAUCCGUAGCUGGUCUGAGAGGAUGAUCCGCCACACUGGAACUGAGACACGGUCCAGACUCCUACGGGAGGCAGCAGUGGGGAAUUUUGGACAAUGGGGGCAACCCUGAUCCAGCCAUGCCGCGUGAGUGAAGAAGGCCU